rnacentral:rRNA from 2 species
AAAUUGAAGAGUUUGAUCAUGGCUCAGAUUGAACGCUGGCGGCAGGCCUAACACAUGCAAGUCGAACGGUAACAGGAAGCAGCUUGCUGCUUCGCUGACGAGUGGCGGACGGGUGAGUAAUGUCUGGGAAACUGCCUGAUGGAGGGGGAUAACUACUGGAAACGGUGGCUAAUACCGCAUAACGUCGCAAGACCAAAGAGGGGGACCUUCGGGCCUCUUGCCAUCAGAUGUGCCCAGAUGGGAUUAGCUUGUUGGUGAGGUAACGGCUCACCAAGGCGACGAUCCCUAGCUGGUCUGAGAGGAUGACCAGCCACACUGGAACUGAGACACGGUCCAGACUCCUACGGGAGGCAGCAGUGGGGAAUAUUGCACAAUGGGCGCAAGCCUGAUGCAGCCAUGCCGCGUGUAUGAAGAAGGCCUUCGGGUUGUAAAGUACUUUCAGCGGGGAGGAAGGUGUUGCGGUUAAUAACCGCAGCAAUUGACGUUACCCGCAGAAGAAGCACCGGCUAACUCCGUGCCAGCAGCCGCGGUAAUACGGAGGGUGCAAGCGUUAAUCGGAAUUACUGGGCGUAAAGCGCACGCAGGCGGUCUGUC